rnacentral:lncRNA from 1 species
AAGAAACAGUGAUGGCAGCCAAACUGCUCAGUGACCGGUCCCUUUGCUUCUUCCACCAGGGCAGGUGGCCUCCGUGACUGGCAGUGAAACUUGCCUCAUCCAUCCGUCUAUCCAUCCAUCCAUCCAUCCAUCCAUCAUCCACCCAUCCCUCCAAGAGCUAUGGCAUACACCCUAGAGACCAGCGUUUCCACAGAGAAGGGGAUACACUGGUGAAUAGACAUGACCUUGGCUGUUCUCCUGGACACGGCUCCCACCUCCUUCCUCCUGCCCUGCUCACAGCUCCCACGGCCAAGUUCAACAAAACCCCAUUUCCUCUGUUGCUCCCCUGCCUACGGAGAUGGACCCCAAAGACCGAC